rnacentral:rRNA from 1 species
GACGAACGCUGGCGGCGUGCCUAAUACAUGCAAGUAGAACGCUGAAGGAGGAGCUUGCUUCUCUGGAUGAGUUGCGAACGGGUGAGUAACGCGUAGGUAACCUGCCUGGUAGCGGGGGAUAACUAUUGGAAACGAUAGCUAAUACCGCAUAAUAUUGACUAUUGCAUGAUAGUCAGUUGAAAGGUGCAACUGCACCACUACCAGAUGGACCUGCGUUGUAUUAGCUAGUUGGUGGGGUAACGGCUCACCAAGGCGACGAUACAUAGCCGACCUGAGAGGGUGAUCGGCCACACUGGGACUGAGACACGGCCCAGACUCCUACGGGAGGCAGCAGUAGGGAAUCUUCGGCAAUGGACGGAAGUCUGACCGAGCAACGCCGCGUGAGUGAAGAAGGUUUUCGGAUCGUAAAGCUCUGUUGUAAGAGAAGAACGAGUGUGAGAGUGGAAAGCUCACACUGUGACGGUAUCUUACCAGAAAGAGACGGCUAACUACGUG